rnacentral:rRNA from 1 species
GACGAACGCUGGCGGCGUGCCUAAUACAUGCAAGUCGAACGCUUUUUCUUUCACCGGAGCUUGCUCCACCGAAAGAAAAAGAGUGGCGAACGGGUGAGUAACACGUGGGUAACCUGCCCAUCAGAAGGGGAUAACACUUGGAAACAGGUGCUAAUACCGUAUAACACUAUUUUCCGCAUGGAAGAAAGUUGAAAGGCGCUUUUGCGUCACUGAUGGAUGGACCCGCGGUGCAUUAGCUAGUUGGGGAGGUAACGGCUCACAAAGGCAACGAUGCAUAGCGGACCUGGGGGGGUGAUCAGGCACACUGGGACUGAGACACGGCCCAGACUCCUACGGGAGGCAGCAGUAGGGAAUCUUCGGCAAUGGACGAAAGUCUGACCGAGCAACGCCGCGUGAGUGAAGAAGGUUUUCGGAUCGUAAAACUCUGUUGUUAGAGAAGAACAAGGAUGAGAGUAAAAUGUUCAUCCCUUGACGGUAUCUAACCAGAAAGCCACGGCUAACUACGUGCCAGCCGCCGCCGUAAAAC